rfam:Lactococcus garvieae Lg2 DNA, complete genome.
GGAGAAUUACUCAAGAGGCUGAAGAGGUACGCUUGGAAAGUGUAUAGGUGGGUAAAACCGCGCAUGGGUUCGAAUCCCAUAUUCUCCU